rnacentral:rRNA from 1 species
UACGAAGAGGCCGUAACACAGGUGCUGCAUGGCUGUCGUCAGCUCGUGUCGUGAGAUGUUGGGUUAAGUCCCGCAACGAGCGCAACCCUUGUCAUUAGUUGCUACAUUCAGUUGGGCACUCUAAUGAGACUGCCGGUGACAAGCCGGAGGAAGGUGGGGAUGACGUCAAGUCCUCAUGGCCCUUAUAGGUGGGGCUACACACGUCAUACAAUGGCUGGUACAAAGGGUUGCCAACCCGCGAGGGGGAGCCAAUCCCAUAAAGCCAGUCGUAGUCCGGAUCGUAGUCUGCAACUCGACUACGUGAAGUCGGAAUCGCUAGUAAUCGUGGAUCAGAAUGUCACGGUGAAUACGUUCCCGGGUCUU